AGGGGGUCAUCCCGACUUACCAACCCGAUGCAAACUGCGAAUACCGGAGAAUGUUAUCACGGGAGACACACGGCGGGUGCUAACGUCCGUCGUGAAGAGGGAAACAACCCAGACCGCCAGCUAAGGUCCCAAAGUCAUGGUUAAGUGGGAAACGAUGUGGGAAGGCCCAGACAGCCAGGAUGUUGGCUUAGAAGCAGCCAUCAUUUAAAGAAAGCGUAAUAGCUCACUGGUCGAGUCGGCCUGCGCGGAAGAUGUAACGGGGCUAAACCAUGCACCGAAGCUGCGGCAGCGAUGCUUAUGCGUUGUUGGGUAGGGGAGCGUUCUGUAAGCCUGCGAAGGUGUGCUGUGAGGCAUGCUGGAGGUAUCAGAAGUGCGAAUGCUGACAUAAGUAACGAUAAAGCGGGUGAAAAGCCCGCUCGCCGGAAGACCAAGGGUUCCUGUCCAACGUUAAUCGGGGCAGGGUGAGUCGACCCCUAAGGCGAGGCCGAAAGGCGUAGUCGAUGGGAAACAGGUUAAUAUUCCUGUACUUGGUGUUACUGCGAAGGGGGGACGGAGAAGGCUAUGUUGGCCGGGCGACGGUUGUCCCGGUUUAAGCGUGUAGGCUGGUUUUCCAGGCAAAUCCGGAAAAUCAAGGCUGAGGCGUGAUGACGAGGCACUACGGUGCUGAAGCAACAAAUGCCCUGCUUCCAGGAAAAGCCUCUAAGCAUCAGGUAACAUCAAAUCGUACCCCAAACCGACACAGGUGGUCAGGUAGAGAAUACCAAGGCGCUUGAGAGAACUCGGGUGAAGGAACUAGGCAAAAUGGUGCCGUAACUUCGGGAGAAGGCACGCUGAUAUGUAGGUGAAGUCCCUUGCGGAUGGAGCUGAAAUCAGUCGAAGAUACCAGCUGGCUGCAACUGUUUAUUAAAAACACAGCACUGUGCAAACACGAAAGUGGACGUAUACGGUGUGACGCCUGCCCGGUGCCGGAAGGUUAAUUGAUGGGGUCAGCGCAAGCGAAGCUCUUGAUCGAAGCCCCGGUAAACGGCGGCCGUAACUAUAACGGUCCUAAGGUAGCGAAAUUCCUUGUCGGGUAAGUUCCGACCUGCACGAAUGGCGUAAUGAUGGCCAGGCUGUCUCCACCCGAGACUCAGUGAAAUUGAACUCGCUGUGAAGAUGCAGUGUACCCGCGGCAAGACGGAAAGACCCCGUGAACCUUUACUAUAGCUUGACACUGAACAUUGAGCCUUGAUGUGUAGGAUAGGUGGGAGGCUUUGAAGUGUGGACGCCAGUCUGCAUGGAGCCGGCCUUGAAAUACCACCCUUUAAUGUUUGAUGUUCUAACGUGGACCCGUGAUCCGGGUUGCGGACAGUGUCUGGUGGGUAGUUUGACUGGGGCGGUCUCCUCCUAAAGAGUAACGGAGGAGCACGAAGGUUGGCUAAUCCUGGUCGGACAUCAGGAGGUUAGUGCAAUGGCAUAAGCCAGCUUGACUGCGAGCGUGACGGCGCGAGCAGGUGCGAAAGCAGGUCAUAGUGAUCCGGUGGUUCUGAAUGGAAGGGCCAUCGCUCAACGGAUAAAAGGUACUCCGGGGAUAA
rnacentral:rRNA from 1 species